GUGGGGAAUAUUGGACAAUGGGGGCAACCCUGAUCCAGCGACGCCGCGUGGAGGAUGAAGGUUUUCGGAUUGUAAACUCCUUUUGGAGGGGAAGAAACUGCCGUUUAAUACACGGCCCUGACGGUACCCUCAGAAAAAGCCACGGCUAACUACGUGCCAGCAGCCGCGGUAAUACGUAGGUGGCGAGCGUUACUCGGAAUUACUAGGCGUAAAGAGCAUGUAGGUGGCUGGUCAAGUCUGUUGUGAAAUCUCUAUGCUUAACAUAGAGCUGCCAAUGGAUACUGAUUGGCUUGAGUUUGGGAGGGGUAACUGGAAUUCCCGGUGUAGCGGUGAAAUGCGUAGAUAUCGGGAAGAACACCAAUGGCGAAAGCAGGUUACUGGACCAAUACUGACACUGAGAUGCGAAAGCUAGGGGAGCAAACAGG
rnacentral:rRNA from 1 species